CAAGUCGAACGAACUAUUCUAAAGAGUAAUCUAAGGAAUAGUUAGUGGCGAAAGGGUUAGUAAUAGAUAGGUAACGUACCCUCGGCUCCGGAAUAGCGUCGUCACGAGAAAUCGUGACUACCGAAAGGGGCGGUAAUACCGGAUAAUAUCAUUGGUCGAUGGACCAAUGCUCAAUGAUUUAUCGGCAGAGGAGCGGCCUAUCUCCUAUCAGCUUGUUGGUGAGGUAAUGGCCCACCAAGGCUAAGACGGGUAGCGGGACUGAGAGGCCGGCCCGCAACAUCGGGACUGAGACACUGCCCGGACCUCCACGGAGGGCUGCAGUAACGAAUCUUGCGCAAUGGGCGAAAGCCUGACGCAGCGACGCCGCGUGUGGGAGGAAGUCCUUCGGGAUGUAAACCACUGUCAGGGGUAAGAAAGUCCGCCUUCGGGCGGAUUGAUCCAACCCAGAGGAAGUCACGGCUAACUCUGUGCCAGCAGCCGCGGU
rnacentral:rRNA from 1 species